rnacentral:tRNA from 1 species
GCGUAAGCGCAGAAACGAGUGCGUGGCUAGGAACCACGAGGUCGAGAGUUCGAAUCUCUCCGGGCGCGCCA